rnacentral:rRNA from 1 species
GUGAUUAAGUAAGAAAGGGCGUACGGUGGAUGCCUAGGCACUUGGAACUGAAGAAGGACGCAGCAAACAGCGAAAUGCUGCGGGGAGCGGUACGCACGCAAAGAUCCGCAGAUAUCCGAAUGGGGAAACCCGUCAUCUGUAAUAGGAUGACACCCAUGAGCGAAUACAUAACUCAUGAGGGAGGUACCCGGGGAACUGAAACAUCUAAGUACCCGGAGGAAAAGAAAAUAAAGAAUGAUUCCGUAAGUAGCGGCGAGCGAAAGCGGAGGAGCCCAAACCAGUUCUCGAACUGGGGUUGUAGGACCACGACAAGACAAGAACGACGAUAGGAGAACAGCAUUGAAAGGCUGACCAAAGAGGGUGCAAGUCCCGUAACUGAAAUCGUAGUGAAGUCUAGUGGGAUCCUGAGUACGGCGAGACACGAGAAAUCUUGUCGGAAGCAGGCGGGACCAUCCGUCAAGGCUAAAUAUACCCAAGUGACCGAUAGUGAACCAGUACCGUGAGGGAAAGGUGAAAAGAACCGCGGGAGCGGAGUGAAAGAGAACCUGAAACCGUAUGCCUACAAGAAGUCAGAGCCCGUUAAAGGGUGAUGGCGUGCCUUUUGUAGAAUGAACCGGCGAGUUACGUUAUCGUGCGAGGUUAAGUAGAAGAUACGGAGCCGAAGCGAAAGCGAGUCUUAAUAGGGCGGCAGUACGAUGACGUAGACCCGAAACCGUGUGAUCUAGCCAUGACCAGGUUGAAGUUCAGGUGAAACUGAAUGGAGGACCGAACCGACCCCCGUUGAAAAGUUGGCGGAUGAGUUGUGGCUAGGGGAGAAAUUCCAAUCGAACACGGAUAUAGCUGGUUCUCCCCGAAAUAGCUUUAGGGCUAGCGUCGAGGAAGAGUAUGUUGGAGGUAGAGCACUGAAUGUACGAUGGCCCCAUCCCNNNNNNNNNNAGUAUGUUGGAGGUAGAGCACUGAAUGUACGAUGGCCCCAUCCCGGGGUACUGAGUAUAAUCAAACUCCGAAUGCCAAUAUAUAUACUCGGCAGUCAGACUGUGGGUGAUAAGGUCCAUGGUCAAAAGGGAAACAGCCCAGACCGCCAGUUAAGGUCCCAAAAUGUAUGCUAAGUGGAAAAGGAUGUGGGGAUGCACAGACAACUAGGAGGUUGGCUCAGAAGCAGCCACCCUUCAAAGAGUGCGUAACAGCUCACUAGUCGAGUGACCCUGCGCCGAAAAUGUACCGGGGCUAAGCAUACUACCGAAGCUGCGGAUUUGUAGUAAUACAAGUGGUAGGGGAGCGUUCCAUACUGCGUAGAAGUCAGAUCGUAAGGACUGAUGGAGUGUAUGGAAGUGAGAAUGCCGGUGUGAGUAGCGAGAUGUAGGUGAGAAUCCUACACACCGAUAGCCCAAGGGUUCCAGGGGAAGGUUCGUCCGCCCUGGGUAAGUCGGGACCUAACGCGAGGCCGAAAGGCGUAGUGGAUGGAAAACAGGCAGAUAUUCCUGUACCCGCGAUGGAAGUGAAGGAAUGACGGAGAAGGCUAGUGUGACCCACUGAAUGGAUUGUGGGCGAAGCGAAUAGCAGGACGGCAGUGAAAUGCGUCGUCGAAAUGUAAAACGUGACAGGUAAGGGAACGUCUACGGACAAGUACCGAAGCACAUGAGGCCAGCUUCCAGGAAAAGUUUCUAGCAUUAAUUCCAUAGCGGCCCGUACCAAAACCGACACAGGUGGGCAAGGAGAGGAUCCUGAGGUGAGCGAGAGAACUGUUGCCAAGGAACUCGGCAAAAUGACUCCGUAAGUUAGCGAUAAGGAGUGCUCUUGUAAAAGAGAGCCGCAGUGAAGAGGCCCAAGCGACUGUUUAACUAAAACACAGCUCUCUGCAAAGUCGCAAGACGAAGUAUAGGGGGUGACGCCUGCCCGGUGCUGGAAGGUUAAAAGGAUCUGUGAAUCGCAAGAGGAAGCAGUGAACUGAAGCCCCAGUGAACGGCGGCCGUAACUAUAACGGUCCUAAGGUAGCGAAAUUCCUUGUCAGGUAAGUUCUGACCCGCACGAAAGGCGUAACGAUUUGGGCGCUGUCUCGGCAGCAGACUCGGUGAAAUCUUAGUACCUGUGAAAAUGCAGGUUACCCGCAACUAGACGGAAAGACCCCAUGGAGCUUUACUGUAGCCUGAUAUUGAGUUUUGAUCAAAGAUGUACAGGAUAGGUGGGAGGCGAAGAGACGUGUACGCCAGUAUACGAGGAGCCGCUGUUGGGAUACCACUCUUGUUUGAUUGAAAUUCUAACCUGCAUCCAUGAACUGGAUGAGGGACCGUGUCAGGUGGGCAGUUUGACUGGGGCGGUCGCCUCCUAAAGAGUAACGGAGGCGCCCAAAGGUACGCUCAGAUUGGAUGGAAAUCAAUCGACGAGUGCAAAUGCAGAAGCGUGCUUGACUGCGAGAGAAACAACUCGAGCAGGGACGAAAGUCGGGAUUAGUGAUCCGGCGGUGCCGAAUGGAAGGGCCGUCGCUCAACGGAUAAAAGCUACCCUGGGGAUAACAGGCUGAUCUCGCCCAAGAGUUCACAUCGACGGCGAGGUUUGGCACCUCGAUGUCGGCUCAUCGCAUCCUGGAGCUGAAUUCGGUUCCAAGGGUUGGGCUGUCCGCCCAUUAAAGCGGUACGCGAGCUGGGUUCAGAACGUCGUGAGACAGUUCGGUCCCUAUCUGUUGUGGGCGAAGGAAAUUUGAGGAGAGCUGUCCUUAGUACGAGAGGACCGGGAUGGACCUACCGCUGGUGCACCAGUUGUUCCGCCAGGAGCAUAGCUGGGUAGCUAAGUAGGGAAGGGAUAAGCGCUGAAAGCAUCUAAGCGCGAAGCCCCCUCCAAGAUGAGAUUUCCCAUUCUUCGGAAGUAAGACCCCUUGAAGACGACGAGGUAGAUAGGUCAGAGAUGGAAACGUAGUGAUACGUGGAGUUGACUGAUACUAAUAGGUCGAGGACUUAAUCACA